AGCUUAAUGAUGUUUUAUAUUAGGUGAAUUCUGCUCAAUGAUAUAAUUAAAUAGCCGCAGUACUUUGACUGUGCGAAGGUAGCAUAAUAAGUUGGCUUAUAAUUGAAGUCGGGAAUGAAUGAAUUAAUGGAUAUAAGCUGUCUUAAAUAAAUGUAAAUUAAUUUUCUAAGUAAGUGAAAAUUCUUACAUGAAGGUUUAUUAGACGAGAAGACCCUUGAAAUUUUAACAAAUACAAUAUGUUUAAUAUUAAUAGUUUUUAUUGGGGCGAUAGAUUCACAAAUAUAACUGAAUUUAUUAAGUUACUAAGAUGUUGCAAGUUUUACUAAUAAAAAAUAAAUUACUCAAGGGAUAACAGCAUAAUUUAUAGAUAAGUUUGUGACCUCGAUGUUGGACUAGGAAAUUUUAAGUUUAGAAGAUUUAAAAUAAGGUUCUGUUCGAACUAUUUUUCCUACAUG
rnacentral:rRNA from 1 species